rnacentral:rRNA from 1 species
GAUGAACGCUGGCGGCGUGCCUAAUACAUGCAAGUCGAGCGAACAGACGAGGAGCUUGCUCCUCUGACGUUAGCGGCGGACGGGUGAGUAACACGUGGAUAACCUACCUAUAAGACUGGGAUAACUUCGGGAAACCGGAGCUAAUACCGGAUAAUAUAUUGAACCGCAUGGUUCAAUAGUGAAAGACGGUUUUGCUGUCACUUAUAGAUGGAUCCGCGCCGCAUUAGCUAGUUGGUAAGGUAACGGCUUACCAAGGCAACGAUGCGUAGCCGACCGGAGAGGGGGAUCGGCCACACUGGAGCGUGGACACGGUCAAGACUCCUACGGGAGGCAGCAGUAGGGAAUCUGCCGCAAUGGGCGAAAGCAUGACGGAGCAACGCCGAGUGAGUGAUGAAGGUCUUCGGAUCGUAAAGCUCUGUUAUGAGGGAAGAACAAAUGUGUAAGUAACUAAGCACGGCUUGACGGUACCUAAUCAGAAAGCCACGGCUAACUACGUG